CAGGGGUCAGGGUGUGGGUCAGUGACAGAAGGCAGCAGCAGCAGAGGACAGAGAAGGACGGAUGGAGAAAAAUAAAAAGAACAUGGACAAAACCAGCAGAAAACAGAACACUAGAAAUAGUGUUCAGACCAGGUUUUCUGCACGCUUACAGCGUCUGAAGGACCAUCAUGAAAAAUGCUUAUCCAAGUACACGGAGUGGGAGACUAACCAAACACAGUCCUCAAGACUGCCACACCAAAGAAGGGUGAAUACCACACCACAGGAGACAUC